AAAUCCGUCGACUUUUUAAAUCGUGAG
rnacentral:tRNA from 1 species